rnacentral:lncRNA from 1 species
AGCAACUUGGAAUGAUAUCUAUAUUGUCUCAUGGCUAGAAGGUUUUCAAAAUGCCUUGAAUUAAUAUACAGCUGCAUAAUAAGAGUGCUUGACAUUGGAAUAUGUACUUGAAUACUGCUAAUUUUAUUUUCCUAAGAUCUAUUCUGACAAUACAGUUCCACUUUGGUACCAGUUACCAUAGAAAACAGUGGAAUGGUCACCUUGUGAUGUCAUUUGAUGAGGGUCAUUCAGGUAUAUAGCACAUGUAAUUUGCUAAAAUCAACUUAAAUACAUACUGUGAAUUAAGAUGUGAUAUAAAUUGCAAAGGUGAUAUUUUAACAGCUUUAAUUAUACCUCCUUUCUAACAAGCUUCCUGCAAAGUAAUAAUAAAGUACUAAAGCAACAAAGAUUGUCUUCUGAUAAAUCUAAAUAGACAAGAACUUGGCACCUGAAACAGAUGGCUUUUGCCUCCUUCCCCUAUGCCCUUGAGCAGAAGAGGUGCAUUGGUCUGCUAAUCUUUAUUCAAAAGGAAGAAUUCUUUGACAGUCAUUCAUUCAGACACAUUUUUGAAAAUGACCUGCAACUUCUGGAAUUAAAUUUAUCAAAAUAGUUGGAAAACUAUUUGACAGCAACAAGAAGAGUGCUUGGCACGUUCUGUUGUGGAUAAAUGAUGGAUAUACAAAUAAUAAGAUUUUCUUUAGGGAUCCCUGGGUGGCGCAGCGGUU